GCCUAUAUACGUCCCACUGCUGGGCACAGGCCUCCCCUCAAUCAACCGGAGGGGGUAUGGAGCAUACUCCACCACGCUGCUCCAAUGCGGGUUGGUGGAGGUGUUUUUUUACGGCUAAUAGCCGGGACCAACGGCUUAACGUGCCCUCCGAAGCACGGAAUCAUCUUACUUUUUCGGACAAUCAGGUGAUUCAAGCCUGAAAAGUCCUUACCAAACAAAGGACAGUCUCACAUAGUGAUUUCGACAAUGUCCCCAUCGGGAAUCGAACCCGGAUCUCCAGAUCGUGAGCCUAACGC